GUGACGUGGGGGUGGAACUGCCCCUAACCCUGAUGCACCCCAAGCCGGCGAAUGAUGCCACCGGCGCCGAGGACAUCGUCGUCGAGGAAUUCGCCCGGCACAAGCUCGGGGCCGAGAAGGACGAGGACGAGGACGAGGAGGAGGAAGGACAGAAUUGAGCCGAACCCCCGGCUCCCCCC